GGAGAGGUGCCGGAGCGGUUGAUCGGGACAGUCUCGAAAACUGUUGUGGGCGAAAGUCCACCGUGGGUUCGAAUCCCACCCUCUCCG
rnacentral:tRNA from 1 species